rnacentral:piRNA from 1 species
UUAAGGAUCGCGUGAAGGGAAGGAG